GGAAUAUUGGUCAAUGGACGCAAGUCUGAACCAGCCAUGCCGCGUGCAGGAUGACGGUCCUAUGGAUUGUAAACUGCUUUUGUACAGGAAGAAACCCUACUUCGUGAAGUAGAUUGACGGUACUGUAAGAAUAAGGAUCGGCUAACUCCGUGCCAGCAGCCGCGGUAAUACGGAGGAUCCAAGCGUUAUCCGGAAUCAUUGGGUUUAAAGGGUCCGUAGGCGGUCUAGCAAGUCAGUGGUGAAAUCUCCCCGCUCAACGGGGAAACGGCCAUUGAUACUACUAGACUUGAAUUAUUAGGAAGUAACUAGAAUAUGUAGUGUAGCGGUGAAAUGCUUAGAUAUUACAUGGAAUACCAAUUGCGAAGGCAGGUUACUACUAAUGGAUUGACGCUGAUGGACGAAAGCGUGGGGAGCGAACAGGAUUAGAUACCCGGG
rnacentral:rRNA from 1 species